rnacentral:rRNA from 1 species
AGAUAAUAGAUACCCUGGUAGUCCUGGCCCUCAACGUUGCUCGCUCGUUUUACGGAGUAUCGACCCUCUGUGAGACUAAAGCUAACGCGGUAAGCGAGCCGCCUGGGUAGUACGAUCGCAAGAUUAAAACUCAAAGGAAUAGACGGGGACUCGCACAAGCAGUGGAUUAUGCGGCUUAAUUCGUCGGUAAACGAAGAACCUUACCAAGGUUAGAAACCCAACUGCAUCCGACCUGAAAGGGACGGAGCCUUCGAGGGUGUUGGGCAGGUGAUGCAUGGUCGUCGUCAGUUCGUGGUUUGAACUGUUCCCUUCAGUGGGGUAACGAACGCAACCCCCGUUGUCUGUUGUCAC